AACUUUCAACAAUGGAUCUCUUGGCUCUCGUAUCGAUGAAGAACGCAGCGAAAUGCGAUAAGUAAUAUGAAUUGCAGAAUUCCGUGAAUCAUCAAAUUUUUGAACGCAAAUUGCACUUCUUGGUAUGCCAAGAAGUACACAUGCUUGAGGGUCAGU
rnacentral:rRNA from 1 species